rnacentral:rRNA from 1 species
UACAGAGGGUGCGAGCGUUGUUCGGAAUUAUUGGGCGUAAAGGGCGCGUAGGCGGUGCGGUAAGUCUGUAGUGAAAUCUCUGGGCUCAACUCAGAGUCUGCUAUAGAAACUGCCGUGCUUGAGUGUGGGAGAGGUGAGUGGAAUUCCCGGUGUAGCGGUGAAAUUCGUAGAUAUUCGCAAGAACACCAGUGGCGAAGGCGGCUCACUGGCCCGGUACUGACGCUGAGGCGCGACAGCGUGGGGAGCAAACAGG